rnacentral:rRNA from 1 species
CCCGGGAACGGUCCUGGAACAGGUACCUCUUCUUUGAGCUGGUGUACAGGUGGUGCAUGGUUGUCGUCAGCUCGUGUCGUGAGAUGUUGGGUUAAGUCCCGCAACGAGCGCAACCCUCGUUCUAUGUUGCCAGCACGUGAUGGUGGGAACUCAUAGGAGACUGCCGGGGUCAACUCGGAGGAAGGUGGGGAUGACGUCAAAUCAUCAUGCCCUUUAUGUCUUGGGCUUCACGCAUGCUACAAUGGCUGGUACAGAGAGAGGCGAACCCGUGAGGGCAAGCGAAUCCCUUAAAGCCAGUCUCAGUUCGGAUCGUAGUCUGCAAUUCGACUACGUGAAGUCGGAGUCGCUAGUAAUCGCAGAUCAGCAACGCUGCGGUGAAUACGUUCCCGGGCCUUGUACACACCGCCCGUCAAGUCACGAAAGUCGGUAACACCCGAAGCCGGUGGCCUAACCGUAAGGAGGGGGCCGUCUAAGGUGGGACUGGUGAUUGGGACUAAGUCGUAACAAGGUAGCCGUAGUA